rnacentral:rRNA from 1 species
UACAGAGGUCUCAAGCGUUGUCCGGAUUUACUGGGCGUAAAGAGCGCGCAGGCGGUCGUUCAAGUCGCGUGUGAAAGCCCCCCGGCUCAACCCUGGGAUGCCGGUGGAUACUGUCGACUCGAGUCCGGAAGAGGCGAGUGGAAUUCCUGGUGUAGCGGUGAAAUGCGCAGAUAAUCAGGAGGAACACCAAUGGCGAAGGCAGCUCCGCUGGGACGUGACUGACGCUGAGACGCGA